rnacentral:rRNA from 1 species
AGCGUACACGGUGGAUGCCCUGGCAGUCAGAGGCGAUGAAGGACGUGCUAAUCUGCGAAAAGCGUCGGUAAGGUGAUAUGAACCGUUACAGCCGGCGAUGUCCGAAUGGGGAAACCCAGUGCAAUUCGUUGCACUAUCGUUAACUGAAUACAUAGGUUAACGAGGCGAACCGGGGGAACUGAAACAUCUAAGUACCCCGAGGAAAAGAAAUCAACCGAGAUUCCCCCAGUAGCGGCGAGCGAACGGGGAGCAGCCCAGAGUCUGAAUCAGCUUGUGUGUUAGUGGAACGGUCUGGAAAGUCCGACGGUACAGGGUGAUAGUCCCGUACACCAAAAUGCACAGGCUGUGAACUCGAAGAGUAGGGCGGGACACGUGGUAUCCUGUCUGAAUAUGGGGGGACCAUCCUCCAAGGCUAAAUACUCCUGACUGACCGAUAGUGAACCAGUACCGUGAGGGAAAGGCGAAAAGAACCCCGGCGAGGGGAGUGAAAAAGAACCUGAAACCGUGUACGUACAAGCAGUGGGAGCACCUUCGGGUGUGACUGCGUACCUUUUGUAUAAUGGGUCAGCGACUUAUAUUCUGUAGCAAGGUUAACCGUAUAGGGGAGCCGCAGGGAAACCGAGUCUUAACUGGGCGUUAAGUUGCAGGGUAUAGACCCGAAACCCGGUGAUCUAGCCAUGGGCAGGUUGAAGGUUGGGUAACACUAACUGGAGGACCGAACCGACUAAUGUUGAAAAAUUAGCGGAUGACUUGUGGCUGGGGGUGAAAGGCCAAUCAAACCGGGAGAUAGCUGGUUCUCCCCGAAAGCUAUUUAGGUAGCGCCUCGUGAACUCAUCUUCGGGGGUAGAGCACUGUUUCGGCUAGGGGGUCAUCCCGACUUACCAACCCGAUGCAAACUACGAAUACCGAAGAAUGUUAUCACGGGAGACACACGGCGGGUGCUAACGUCCGUCGUGAAGAGGGAAACAACCCAGACCGCCAGCUAAGGUCCCAAAGUCAUGGUUAAGUGGGAAACGAUGUGGGAAGGCACAGACAGCCAGGAUGUUGGCUUAGAAGCAGCCAUCAUUUAAAGAAAGCGUAAUAGCUCACUGGUCGAGUCGGCCUGCGCGGAAGAUGUAACGGGGCUAAACCAUGCACCGAAGCUGCGGCAGCGACACUAUGUGUUGUUGGGUAGGGGAGCGUUCUGUAAGCCUGCGAAGGUGUGCUGUGAGGCAUGCUGGAGGUAUCAGAAGUGCGAAUGCUGACAUAAGUAACGAUAAAGCGGGUGAAAAGCCCGCUCGCCGGAAGACCAAGGGUUCCUGUCCAACGUUAAUCGGGGCAGGGUGAGUCGACCCCUAAGGCGAGGCCGAAAGGCGUAGUCGAUGGGAAACAGGUUAAUAUUCCUGUACUUGGUGUUACUGCGAAGGGGGGACGGAGAAGGCUAUGUUAGCCGGGCGACGGUUGUCCCGGUUUAAGCAUGUAGGCUGGUUAUCCAGGCAAAUCCGGAUAAUCAAGGCUGAGGUGUGAUGACGAGGCACUACGGUGCUGAAGUAACAAAUGCCCUGCUUCCAGGAAAAGCCUCUAAGCAUCAGGUAACAUCAAAUCGUACCCCAAACCGACACAGGUGGUCAGGUAGAGAAUACCAAGGCGCUUGAGAGAACUCGGGUGAAGGAACUAGGCAAAAUGGUGCCGUAACUUCGGGAGAAGGCACGCUGGUGUGUAGGUGAAGCCCCUGCGGGUGGAGCUGAGACCAGUCGAAGAUACCAGCUGGCUGCAACUGUUUAUUAAAAACACAGCACUGUGCAAACACGAAAGUGGACGUAUACGGUGUGACGCCUGCCCGGUGCCGGAAGGUUAAUUGAUGGGGUUAUCCGUAAGGAGAAGCUCUUGAUCGAAGCCCCGGUAAACGGCGGCCGUAACUAUAACGGUCCUAAGGUAGCGAAAUUCCUUGUCGGGUAAGUUCCGACCUGCACGAAUGGCGUAAUGAUGGCCAGGCUGUCUCCACCCGAGACUCAGUGAAAUUGAACUCGCUGUGAAGAUGCAGUGUACCCGCGGCAAGACGGAAAGACCCCGUGAACCUUUACUAUAGCUUGACACUGAACAUUGAGCCUUGAUGUGUAGGAUAGGUGGGAGGCUUUGAAGCGUGGACGCCAGUCUGCGUGGAGCCAACCUUGAAAUACCACCCUUUAAUGUUUGAUGUUCUAACGUUGGCCCCUGACCGGGGUUGCGGACAGUGUCUGGUGGGUAGUUUGACUGGGGCGGUCUCCUCCCAAAGCGUAACGGAGGAGCACGAAGGUUAGCUAAUCCUGGUCGGACAUCAGGAGGUUAGUGCAAUGGCAUAAGCUAGCUUGACUGCGAGCGUGACGGCGCGAGCAGGUGCGAAAGCAGGUCAUAGUGAUCCGGUGGUUCUGAAUGGAAGGGCCAUCGCUCAACGGAUAAAAGGUACUCCGGGGAUAACAGGCUGAUACCGCCCAAGAGUUCAUAUCGACGGCGGUGUUUGGCACCUCGAUGUCGGCUCAUCACAUCCUGGGGCUGAAGUAGGUCCCAAGGGUAUGGCUGUUCGCCAUUUAAAGUGGUACGCGAGCUGGGUUUAGAACGUCGUGAGACAGUUCGGUCCCUAUCUGCCGUGGGCGCUGGAGAAUUGAGGGGGGCUGCUCCUAGUACGAGAGGACCGGAGUGGACGCAUCACUGGUGUUCGGGUUGUCAUGCCAAUGGCACUGCCCGGUAGCUAAAUGCGGAAGAGAUAAGUGCUGAAAGCAUCUAAGCACGAAACUUGCCCCGAGAUGAGUUCU